rnacentral:rRNA from 1 species
AAGUCGUAACAAGGUCUCCGUUGGUGAACCAGCGGAGGGAUCAUUACUGAGUACUACACUCUCUACCCUUUGUGAACUAUUAUACCUGUUGCUUCGGCGGCGCCCGCAAGGGUGCCCGCCGUCUCAUCAGAAUCUCUGUUUUCGAACCCGACGAUACUUCUGAGUGUUCUUAGCGAACUGUCAAAACUUUUAACAACGAUCUCUUGGCUCCAGCAUCGAUGAAGAACGCAGCGAAACGCGAUAUGUAAUGUGAAUUGCAGAAUUCAGUGAAUCAUCGAAAUCUUUGAAACGCACAUGGCGCCUUCCAGUAUCCUGGGAGGCAUGCCUGUCCGAGCGUCGUUUCAACCCUCGAGCCCCUGUGGCCCGGCGUUGGGGAUCUGCCACGGCAGGCCCCUAAAACCAGUGGCGGACCCGAAGGGCCCUCUCCUUUGCGCAGUAGCAUUCGCCUCGCAUCGGGAGUCCUCGGCGUCCUGCCUCUAAACCCCCCACAAGCCCGCUUCGGCGGCACCAAGGUUGACCUCGGAUCAGGUAGAAUACCCGCUGAACUUAA